GCCCCUGUGGUGGAAUUGGUAGACGCGCCGGACUCAAAAUCCGGUUCCUUCGGGAGUGUCGGUUCGAGUCCGACCGGGGGCACCA
rnacentral:tRNA from 1 species